AAGAGUUUAUCUUUUAGAGUGUUCGUUUCUGUGCUUGAUCUAUUGUCAGGCCACUUUGCAUCCAAUCUGAUCAGCCUCUAGUUAGUUUCAAUGAUGGGUUUUUAGAUUAAGCCAUUUCUUUGCCUUUCUUUUGCUUCCAUAAUCAACCAUGAUUAUGUUGAGAUACUUCAAAAUUAGCUUAUCACCUUAAAUUUCGUUCUGUAGAAAUCUAGAGAUUUUUCCCAUUUUUAUGACAAUUCUUGGUAAUUAAACACGUUACAGUAAUAUACUUUGAUAAUUCUGUUUUCAUUAGUUAAAUUCUCCCCCUUCCUCGCCUACAAUUACCCAAACAUAUUAGGGAGAAGAAGGAAAAUAAUCAAUUAUCCUGAAUUAGUCCGUUCUUCUUGUCUUGGUGAUUCAAUUACUAUAUUAAUUGCUUUCUUAGCUUAUGGAUAAUGAUUGGAACUUUUAUUGUUUGAAUGAGUCAAAUCCUAAAUCCUAAUGAAUCUGCCAAUAGUUAUUACAAGGAAACUUCCAAAUUAUUACAAGUUAGCGUUGAAAAUUCUGGGAUCUUUGAGCUAUUUCUUGGGCAUUGAAGGUUUUAGGCAUCCUACUAGUCUUCAUUUUACAAAAUCCAAAUAUGCUACUGACAAUGUGUUGGUAACCAACAAGGCAGGAGCAAUAAGUUGUUCAGCUCUAUGCCCAUGAUGGAAAAUUGCCUCUUGCUGAUAGUGCAUCUUUCUCUAAUCCCACUUUGGACAGAAGCACAAAUAUUAAUACAAAAACAUCAUGCAGACUUCCAAGAGAUCACGACAUUUUGGUUGGAUUGAUAAUAUACAAUAGACAGCAAAGUAUGCAAAGAGGUACUAAGCAAAACCAUAAUAUUAGCUUACUAUGAAUAGCUAACGAAACCAUAUCUCUUAAGCAAUAUAAUUCUGGUGUUUACUAUCAAUUUUAAUCAAAAUUGAAAAACGAGCCCACAAGAGUGAAGACCUCGACAAAUUGAAAUAGGAUAUUAGAAAACUACACAUACUAAUUGAUAAAAUUGAAGUUUCAUAUUUUAGUUUUGCUUAACAUGUUAUGGUAAGGCAGUUCUAAUAUGCUAUGUUUUACUUAAUUGGAUGUAUAUUCAAUAUAACUUCAACAUGGGUGAUCACAGAGUUAGGAAUAAGGAACCAAUGUCAUGGUUCGACGAGAAUGAACAUGCUUUUAUCGAAAUUCUUUACGAGAAAGUGAAAUCAAACGCAUUGCAACGUUCUAUAUUCACGAAAGACGAAUGGAUGAUAAUGUGAGUACCGAUGAUUCCAUUGAUGAAGAUUCGAGUGAUGAUGAUUUGCUAUAUUUAUGGAUAGUUUUGACUCAAAUUUUUGGAGAUUUAAUGAUACUUAAUUGUUUUGUUGCCAGUGAAGGAAGUACCAUAGGCAGGAAAUCUUGUAGAACAUCAUCGCUUACAGGAAAAAUGUAUAUUCUAGAAAUUUUGAAUGGACAUUGGGACGUGUGCUAUCGUAAUUUUCGUAUGUAGAAACAUGUUUUCAUGAAUUUUGUGAUAUUUUGAAAGAGAAAGGGUUACUGAAAGAUGGGAAAAAAGUGAGCAUUGAGGAGGGUAUUGCUAUGUUUAUGACGAUCGUAGGGCACACUGCACGAUACAAUGUUAUUGGUGAUAGGUUUCAGCAUUCCAACAACACGAUACACAAAUGGUUCAAACGAGUUGUAAGGGCUGUUUGUUCAUUUGGCACUGAGAUAAUUCGUCCGACAAAUCAAGACAUUGUAUGGCGCAAUAGAUGGAACAUAUGUUGUAACUUGGGCUCCUGCAUUGAGACAAACAUCUUUUCGUGGAAGGAAAACUAAUGUAAUACAAAAUGUGAUGCUGAUAUAUGAUUUUGAUAUGAAAUUCACAUUUGUGUAUUCUGUUUGGAAAUGUACUGCUAAUGAUUUGUGAGUAUUCGUUGACGCAAUUACAAGAACUUCGAACAACUUUCCAAUGCUACAUGGAGGUAUAUUCUUAUACUUCAAAUAAUUAUUGUGAAUAUAUGUACAGUGUCACACUAUGUAAGCCCUUGUUUAUUUUACAGAUCAAUUUUGCCUUGUUGAUUCUGGAUGUCCAAAUAUUCCUGAAUUUCUUAUCCCUUAUCAAGGUCAAAGAUACCAUUUUCAUGACUAUGUUGGACGGGGAAGACUACGUGGGAAGGAAGAAUUGUUCAACUAUAGACACUCCUUGUGCCGUAACAUUAUUGAAUGUUGCAUUGGAGUUUUAAAGGCAAGAUAUCCUAUUUUGAAGUUGAUUACCAAGUAUCCACUUAGUGGGCAAAGACAAAUCCCUAUUGCAUAUUGCACAAUAAAUAACUUUAUUCGUCAGGAGCACGUUUUAGAUAAGUUGUUCGUUGAGUAUUCAGAGAAUAAUAUGGUGUUUCAAGAUAUAUCGGAAUCAAGUCAAGAUCAAGAAGUCAUACAUUCUGAUGCUAGUCAAACAGCUCAAAUGGGACAAGUCAGGGAUCAAAUUGCUACACAAAUGUGGAAUAACUACUCAAGAUGUCGUACAUGAUUCUGUGGAUGUACUUUAUAUUUUGUUUAGUGUCUGUUUGUUUUGUCAUGACACAUAUUUGUCAUGACACAUAAAUUUCUAAUAGUAUCUAUUGAAUUGUGUUGCCAAAUUUAACUUUUUUUUUUAUAUCUGUCAAAAAUCAUUUCAAGAUUCACCAACUUCAAAAUUUA
rnacentral:lncRNA from 1 species